AUUGAACGCUGGCGGCAGGCCUAACACAUGCAAGUCGAGCGAGCGGCGGACGGGUGAGUAAUGUCUGGGAAACUGCCUGAUGGAGGGGGAUAACUACUAGAAACGGUAGCUAAUACCGCAUACCAUCAGAUGUGCCCAGAUGGGAUUAGCUAGUAGGUGGGGUAACGGCUCACCUAGGCGACGAUCCCUAGCUGGUCUGCGCGGAUGACCAGCCACACGGGAACUGAGACCCGGUCCAGACUCCUACGGGAUGCAGCAGGGGGGAAGAUUGCACAAUGGGCGCAAGCCUGAUGCAGCCAUGCCGCGUGUGUCAAGAAGGCCUUCGGGUUGUAAAGCACUUUCAGCGGGGAGUAGUUACCCGAAGAAGAAGCACAGGCUAACUCCGUGCCAGCAGCCGCGGUAAUAC
rnacentral:rRNA from 1 species